UUUCAGUGUUCUGCAGUUACACAAAAGAUUCGAUAUAUUGUUGACCUUGGCUGAAAACAGUCGAAAACCUCUAUCUCAUCUCUAUUCGUCAUCUGUUUCCGUAAUCAAUUUGACUCCAUCUGACAUCUCGAUUAUAUAUUUUGUGCUGAGCAAGUGUUUGAUAAUUUCACGACACAUUACAAUUCUCCUGUGUUUAAA